rnacentral:lncRNA from 1 species
CGUCUCACUUUCACCUCAGCCUUAAGUCCACUCAACUAGGAUAUUACUACAGCUCAUGUGCUUGUUACCCAAUCUCUUGGCUAACCCGAAGGUUUCGCCCUCAACAAACUCACCAACCCAAAAUCCCAUUAACCGGGGAGAUACCCGCUACAACCCGGUGGGACCGUCCUCUGGGGAGAUACCCGCUACAACCCAGUAAUGUCGACUCCGGAGCACAUCGCCCGAGGGGGAGCUACCACAACCUCGAGCAAGGACUAAAGGUGAGUAUGAUCAAUCCUACAUUUGAGGACUCCAAGUUCAAUCCAUUUCUUAACUUUAGGAAGACUAUACUCAAAUGACCCUAAACUCUAGGGUUGAAAUGUCAUAAUAUUUCAAUCAUUCUUUUCUUUACAUUCUUUACUAUCACUUGUGUCAUAUACACUACUAUAUUCUUGGACUCAUGCCACACUUAUUUUCUAAGUGUUUAACAUGCCAUAAGUGUUUCCACUAUACUAAUCAUAUGCCACUCGAUCUAAUAUAUAUAUAGAUUGUCCACGUCACAUAUCAUAGUUCAUACGUCAUUGUUUUCCAACGUCGAGUUUUCUAACCAUCCAAGAUGUAUAGACCCAAGUUCAACAUGCAUAUGUUAUUUAAUAUAGUCCACAGUACAUCAACAUGCAUAUAUAUCAACUCGUAUCUCAAGGUAUAUCAACAUGCAUACAUUUCCAUCUACUAUGUUCCACAAUAUGGAAAUAUGUCAUCAAAUAUGUUUUUCUAUUUAACAUAAUCCACAAUAUGUUAAUUCAUAAUAUGUCAUCAUGCACAUAUACCACGAGCAUCACAAGAUAUGUCAACAUACAUAUAGUCAUUAUCCAAAAUAGUCCAUACUUAGCAUCUCAUGCAUUCUUUUAGCAUUUAAUUUAUUAUGCAUCUCAUCUCAUUGGUAAGUAAUCUCAACUACAUAGUAUGUUUCAAGCAUUCAUAUCAUUAUGUAAGCCUACCAAUACAACUAUAUGCAUCAAUUAGAAAACCAUUACUCUUAGACAUAUAGGCGACCUAGUCGCUUCGGUGAGCACAACCCACCUCAUUUCGCAUUCCGAUUGCUUGUCGACACUUGCAAUCAGCCUCCAGCGGCACCCGGCACCCGGUUUGACCCGAUCUCUCGCGCGACCACCCGAACGGCCUCCAAUUCACGAUCCGAAAAUUAAAGGUCUUCGGUUAUGUGCCACGAUGCUUCAAAUCCGUUUUUAUGAGGUUACGAUAUCGCCUCGGCCCUCCAGGCGAAAACGAAGCCUAAACGUCUGUUUCUUUAAUAACUUCGCAACGACUCCACGAAUCGCCGAACCGACUUCGCCAACGCGUUCGUUUACCUAGCAAUUAAGUUUACGAAGGGUCAAAUUAGAUCAAACCUCCAUAUUUUACAAAACUCCAUUUUUGAGCCCUAACAUGAAUUAACCUCCAAAUAAUCCAAAUUAAAUGGAGCAAUAUGCUAACAAUGCUCAUUAGAGGCUAUUAGAACACUUAAAGCUAAGGAUUAAGCCAAAUUCCAAAAGCUUACUACAAUGUGAACGCCGCGACGAAAACACGCCGCUCCAACGGGCGCACGAAAGCUCGAUCCGUCGCUCCCAACGCGUUCGCGAGCAUCUUCUCCACCAACGCCGCGAAUUUGAGCGAGAGAUUUGGAGAGAUAAGAGAGAAAUCUACAGAGAGAAGGGAGGGUUUUUCCUCUCCCUCCAUGCGUGCGUGAGUGGUAGGGUGGGCUGGUCGGUUGAGGAAGAAGAAGCAUCAGCUUCUUUAAUAACUACACCCUUCAACACUAUUCACUCCAGGGCAGUUUAGCAGUUCGGAACAGUUGGAGCCCUUCUGAGUGUCCGUUUGAGCUCAAAUUUGACAGGCAGGCUCGGUUUAAUGUACUGAGUAAGAAUAUAUCUUAAGUUUUCAGUUUCGACCCCGUUUGAUCACUGAAAACUGUACCGAACUGUAAUCUUUAUCAGAUAACUGUCGGAUUUUAUUUCUCACUUUCCGGGUGUCAGAAAAAUAUGAAACUUUAAAUCUAGUCUCAUAAAAAUAUUUCUGACCUAUCCUCCAAUUUUCAUAAUUUUCUGAGACUAUACAUUUUCUGCUAAUUUAUCUGUCCCGUUUCUAACAGAAAAUUUUAGAUCUCCUGUUUUCAUUCUGAUCUCAGCACAGGUCAUUUCUGACUUAUGUUUUACUCUUCUAAAUCCAAUAAAAAUAGUAUCACACACUAUUUUUAUUUAUUUUUAUUUUUAUACCAAAAUCUGGUAUGUUACAUUCUCCACCCCUUAAAAAGAAUUUUGUCCGCGAAAUUCAAAUCACGGCUCAAUUCAUCUCCGCGAACAAUUGAGGGUACCAACUCAUUCUUCCACUCCAAAGCGGCUCCACACCAUCGUGUUUCUAAAAGCGGCUCACUCCAAAGGACAUAGGUUUAAUAUUAAACUCAUUUGCAAAGUGUGAUGCAAGAGUGCAUCACGGUCUUGCAAGUCAUAGUGGCAGCGCAAGUCGGUACUCAACGACUCUACGCGCUCCAACACCACUCGUCAUUCGGUACGCAAAAAACUCUUCUUUGCACUGGCUUUCCCCUUAGGGAAUGCCUCCCAAUUCGAUCACCGACAUUGCUUAAAAGCAAUAUCACCGGUGCAUCGCUCCGUCGCGAGUGCUCUAAAUUCGCAUUGACCCUCAACUUUAACGUGAGAUGGCCUAUCUUAGCACAUCCCCAAUUCCAAUCCUCCAACUCCACGUGGUUUACUACUAGCUCAAGGUCUCACCAAGAGCACUUCAUCUUCUGAUACCAUAUGCCACGGUCAACAUCGAACUAUUUUCGCAACGAGCUCAUGCGAGCGCCUUGUUUGUGAAUUCGAGCCAAACUCCUCGAUAAGGCUAUCCGCCAAAUCGCUCUCUUCGGUCUCCACAGGUGGACCAAAGGCCACCAAUCCUACGUAGGCCUACCGCUUAAACCUGUCUCAAUACGCAGCGUCUCUCGCUCGCAAAUGCAGACCUAAUCAUGAUCGGGCGAAAUUCUCACUUGGGAAUUCGCACAUACUCCAACCAGGAGCAACUAAAAUCCCAAACCGUUACAGAUUCCCGGGUUGGGUCACACUCGUACUCUCGGUAUACUAUCAAUCGCACGACAUGCUCUACCGAGCCACAAGUACCACUAUCGGCUACUAUGCACCUAACGCGAGUCGCCAGUCCCACGAGUGGUCCAUGGCACGCUUCACACCUAGCAUUGCUCAAGUGCUACUGCCAACUCACUCACUCGGCUGAACCCAGUUCACACUCCACGCGUAACUCUACUCGAACGUCACACGCCUCUAUAGCGCUCCACAGUAAGUCCAGCAUUAUGCAACUCUUGCCUACACUCGCCGACUUCACAAGCACGACCCUACUACCUCACAUCGGGGUACUACUAGGCCCACGUGCUAGCACUUGGCCACUAACCAAUUGUUUCGUCAACAGUGAUUCACUUUCGCUGUUAGACCCAUCAGAACGACAUCCGAAAUACUCGGACUACUCGGGUGUCCUUAAAUAUCACAGCUCAACUCUCGCAAUCUACUAAUUAAGUUGUUUUGAGAGUCGAUUAGCCACCUCUAUCUCUACCGCGAGUUUCACUUCUCGCCAAAGGUCACUACUAGCACUUCGUUAGUGCCAUCUGGCUCUAUACCUAUACUGGCAGGUACUACGCCCUCACAACACGAGCAUGCCCGGGUAUCUAUACUCACCCGUCCACUCGGUCUUCACUAUGCUCAUGCAUGGCAAUAGUAAUUAACCACAUAACCAUUGCAUGCAAUGCAUCAACUUCACAUCAUGCAAAACAUACAUUUGCAUCAAUAACUCAUACCUGCAACGACGUCGUCAGCAACAGGGUCCUCAACCUGGGUUGCGUAUCUACGGCCACCUGGCGCUCGCCGCGAACCUUUAGGUUGCAUUGUCCUCAACGCCCUCUCUCCCGACCAUGCCGCAGAUGGCACACCUGCAGGCCAUCCUAGAGAGAAAUAGGCUGUCGCCAGUGUCAGGCCCCGGCUGUCACUUUGCGGACACUCGUCCCGCGCACAGCCCGAUUGCCCACACCUGUAGCACUUGCCCUCUCACAGCUCGCAAUACUGUGGGUAACGAAAACACCCACAUACGACAUAUCUCACUAAGGACCGAAUACAGUAGGUCCCCGGAACUCGGAAUCACGAGCACGAACACAUUGCACUCACUUGAGAACUUGACGGACCAUCGAAUCCACUCGUUGGCCGUUCUAUUUCCCUUUUCCUUACAAUUGGACUCAUGCUCCCCUCGCACAAUUGCACUGCCUUAUUCUAUCCACAAGGCCUAAUCCUCAAACCUCCUCUAAUCCUCCUAUUUAGAAAAGCUCCUGGAGAGUGAGAGAAGAAAGAACAUGGAGUUGAAGGGGUACUCCUUGCUGUGAACAAGGAAAGAAGAGGUGUAGGGUUUAUACAAACCGCCACAACUGCAUUUAAACCCCCCCAGCAUUUCUCAUUUGCAGUAGAUCUCAACCUGCUGCCAGACCCAUUGUGUACCGGUACACGGGCUUUUGUACCGGUACAAAGCUGUGCAGAGGCAAACCCGAGAGCAACCUCCUCGGAUUUUACCAAAGGGUACCGGUACAAACCAGAGGUGUACCGGUACACUUCUGCAAAAACUUAAACCCGAGAGCAAUGCUCUUCUCGGGUUGCAGGGCUGUACCGGUGACAACAUGAUGGUUGUACCGGUACACUUUGCCCAGAAUGCUGGUUUUGAGCCGUUUUCGAUUCUAUUUCGCGACGGUCGAUGCUAAAACCUUCUUACCUCCUUUGAAACUCAUUUUUAACCCUUCCAACGUCGUUGAAAUGUCAAUUGGACUUUGUCCAACUAUUUCUCUCAACGCACUUUGGUCAAUUUGACUAAAGUUUGAUGUUUAUUUACCAAAAUUUCGGUACGUUACAUUCUCCCUUCCUAAAAGGAGUUUCGUUCUCAUUAUCCCGCACUAUGUCCAGGAUGCAAUUCACGACACGGGAGAAUUCCCGCUCGUAUUCCCUCACGGCGCGGUCUACCUGCCGCAGCUUCGAGAACCUUUCCUGAAGCUUUCUUUUCCAUCAUCAAGGGAGUAAACCGAGAAUACCGAUCCCCGAAACUCAUCCCAAACCACAGGAGGGAGACCAGGUAGUCGAUUCCACUCGACGCCUAUCCACCACAUCUUCGUCGCGACUCCCGGCCGUACUUAACGAGCCGUAACUGGUGCGAUCACUACUGAUCCCCCAACUCUUGGAGUCUCUUAACUCGCUCCUCCCGGCAUAUGGCAGCCUUCUGCUGACACUGCAUAAAUUCGGCUCAUUACCCCGCCACACACACGAGAGUGGCCAAUCACUCGCGAAAUCUCAAGUCUCCGCUCGUCUCAAAUUGCCCAGGGUCACCACUUGGCCCAUCCCACGCCGAUCUAAACGAAGAUCGCCGACGCAGUGUUAUCGCUUCCUAAAACGCGACAACUUUAUUAAUCCUCGACCUUCUAGGUCGAACACGAGACACUUAAUACCGACUCAAAUCGGGCGAAAGUUACACAAGGGCGUCUAUUCUCAUGACUCGGUUUCAUGUUGUGCGCGCCCAACAUGAACACCCUUUGUUGAGAAUAAACCUCUCCUUGAGUCUAGUCUACCUCAAACAUCCGCUUUAGAAGUUUACGACACAAUCCAAUCGAUUAACCUUUCGCCAAAAGGUACAAAUUCUCAUCUUUCACGAGCCUUAAUCUCCUAUGGUUUACUAUCCUAGGGUCUUCUAGAUCCAACUAAACCAUUUCUAUUAUUAUUUUUAUAUUCUUUUUAUUCUUUGAUACCAUCUUAUCUGUCACGCCCCGAGCCCGCAUAUUUGGCCGGUUUCGGGCACGCCGACAGACCGCCGAACGGACAGGGUUUCUCCGGUACCGUGGACAGAGUCUCCCCUAUACGUCCAAGGCGUCGCAAUUGAUACAAUGUACGAAGUUCCAACUAGAAACACAUUUCGAUCAAAAAUUGCAUAAGGAAGUAUCAAAAGCAUAAUCUAGUUGCUAUUACGAGCAUUCACAUUCACUAGAUACAUUUUACAUCACAAAUACUUAUUACAUUUAACUUCCAAAUACAAUCAAGAUUGUUACAACAUUGUUUAUUCUUUCCUUUUCUUUUCUUCUACAACCCUAGCUAGGCUGACUCGGGGUACCGCUAUCUCUGAUCUCGGUGGUAGGGCGCAAUCUAUGGAGCUACGCCCUCUCCUCACGCCGCCGCGCCGCUGACGUGGGAACCUGUACCCCCAAAAAUAACACGGGGGUGAGAACUAUAUGAAUAUAGUUCCCAGUGGGUACGACCACCCAAGGGAAGAGCUCGACCCACAUGUCCAAGGAGGCACUGCAACAUGUUAGUCCAACAAAUAUCCAACAGAUAUAUAUAUAUAUAUGCGAUAAUUGAAAUACAUGUCAUGCCUCACAACCAUGCAAUAUGAAAAUCAUGCGAUUUAUGCAACCAAUUAGUAGUUCAAUCGAUACUACUUUAAUCCUGCUAUUCAAAACUCAUUCUAUUGACUUCGAAAUUAUUCCGCUAUUUUAAAUUCAUAUCAAUUACAAUUCUGAUCAUAUGGUCUCAUUUACCUUUAUCAACUAUCCACCUGACUCGGUCUCGAGUCAAUCAUUCGCAGAGUAACGCGUAAAGCCGAGCUCGAGGCGAAGAACGUCUCACUUUCACCUCAGCCUUAAGUCCACUCAACUAGGAUAUUACUACAGCUCAUGUGCUUGUUACCCAAUCUCUUGGCUAACGAGAAGGUUUCGCCUUCAACAAACUCACCAACCCAAAAUCCCAUUAACCGGGAAGAUACCCGCUACAACCCGGUGGGACCGUCCUCUGGGGAGAUAACCGCUACAACCCAGUGAUGUCGACUCCGGAGCACAUCGCCCGAGGGGGAGCUACCACAACCUCGAGCAAGGACUAAAGGUGAGUAUGAUCAAUCCUACAUUUGAGGACUCCAAGUUCAAUCCAUUCCUUAACUUUAGGAAGACUAUGCUCAAAUGACCCUAAACUCUAGUGUUGAAAUGUCAUAAUAUUUCAAUCAUUCUUUUCUUUGCAUUCUUUACUAUCACUUGUGUCAUAUACACUACUAUAUUCUUAGACUCAUGCCACACUUAUUUUCUAAGUGUUCAACAUGCCAUAAGUGUUUCCACUAUACUAAUCAUAUGCCACUCGAUCUAAUAUAUAUAUAGAUUGUUCACGUCACAUAUCAUAGUUCAUACGUCAUUGUUUUCCAACGUCGAGUUUUCUAACCAUCCAAGAGGUAUAGACCCAAGUUCAACAUGCAUAUGUUAUUUAAUAUAGUCCACAAUACUUCAACAUGCAUAUAUAUCAACUCGUAUCUCAAGGUAUAUCAACAUGCAUAUAUUUUCAUCUACUAUGUUCCACAAUAUGGCAAUAUGUCAUCAAGUAUGUUUUUCUAUUUAACAUAAUCCACAAUAUGUUAAUUCAUAAUAUGUCAUCAUGCACAUAUACCACUAGCAUCACAAGAUAUGUCAACAUACAUAUAGUCAUUAUCCAAAAUAGUCCAUACUUAGCAUCUCAUGCAUUCUUUUAGCAUUUAAUUCAUUAUGCAUCUCAUCUCAUUGGUAGGUAAUCUCAACUACAUUGUAUGUUUCAAGCAUUCAUAUCAUUAUGUAAGCCUACCAACACAACUAUAUGCAUCAAUUAGAAAACCAUUACUCUUAGAC